rnacentral:rRNA from 1 species
CCUACGGUAGGCAGCAGUGGGGAAUAUUGCACAAUGGGGGAAACCCUGAUGCAGCGACGCCGCGUGAGUGAAGAAGUAUCUCGGUACGUAAAGCUCUAUCAGCAGGGAAGAAAAUGACGGUUCCUGACUAAUAAGCCCCGGCUAACUACUUGCCAGCAGCCGCGGUAAUACGUAGGGGGCAAGCGGUCUCCGGAUUUACUGGUUGAAACGGGAGCGUAGACGGCAGCGGAAGUCUGGAGUGAAAUCCCGGGGUUUAACCCGGACCUGCUUUGGAGACUUUGCGACGGGAGUGGUGGAGGGGUAAGCGGAAUUCCUAGUGUAGCGGUGAAAUGCGGAGAUAUAAGGAGGAACACCGGUGGCGAAGGCGGCUUACUGGGCUGUAACUGACGUUGAGGCUCGAAAGCGUGGGGAGCAAACAGGAUUAGAUACCCGUGUAGUC